rnacentral:rRNA from 1 species
AGCGAACGCUGGCGGCAGGCCUAACACAUGCAAGUCGAACGAACUCUUCGGAGUUAGUGGCGGACGGGUGAGUAACACGUGGGAACGUGCCUUUUGGUUCGGAAUAACUCAGGGAAACUUGUGCUAAUACCGAAUGUGCCCUUCGGGGGAAAGAUUUAUCGCCAUUAGAGCGGCCCGCGUCUGAUUAGCUAGUUGGUGAGGUAACGGCUCACCAAGGCGACGAUCAGUAGCUGGUCUGAGAGGAUGACCAGCCACACUGGGACUGAGACACGGCCCAGACUCCUACGGGAGGCAGCAGUGGGGAAUCUUGCGCAAUGGGCGAAAGCCUGACGCAGCCAUGCCGCGUGAAUGAUGAAGGUCUUAGGAUUGUAAAAUUCUUUCACCGGGGACGAUAAUGACGGUACCCGGAGAAGAAGCCCCGGCUAACU